AUAACUCAAAUUUGUAUGGAGUUGGAACAGCUUCCCUUCGUUAGUCGCUAGGGGCGCUGUUCCAACUCCAUACAAAUUUGAGAUA
rfam:Bombyx mori DNA, contig: Bm_scaf33_contig20121, strain: p50T/Dazao, build 2, whole genome shotgun sequence.